rnacentral:rRNA from 1 species
ACGCUAGCUACAGGCUUAACACAUGCAAGUCGAGGGGCAGCAUGUUGGUUGCUUGCAACCAAUGAUGGCGACCGGCGCACGGGUGAGUAACGCGUAUCCAACCUACCCAAUACUCAGGCAUAACCCGUUGAAAGACGGACUAAUUCCUGAUGGUAUGUAUCUUUCUCAUGAUUUAUACAUUAAAGAAUUUCGGUAUUGGAUGGGGAUGCGUCUGAUUAGUUUGUUGGUGAGGUAACGGCUCACCAAGACUUCGAUCAGUAGGGGUUCUGAGAGGAAGGUCCCCCACAUUGGAACUGAGACACGGUCCAAACUCCUACGGGAGGCAGCAGUGAGGAAUAUUGGUCAAUGGAUGGAAAUCUGAACCAGCCAAGUAGCGUGCAGGAUGACGGCCCUAUGGGUUGUAAACUGCUUUUAUGUGAGAAUAAAGUUAGGUAUGUAUACUUAUUUGCAUGUAUCACAUGAAUAAGGACCGGCUAAUUCCGUGCCAGCAGCCGCGGUAAUACGGAAGGUCCAGGCGUUAUCCGGAUUUAUUGGGUUUAAAGGGUGCGUAGGCCGUUUGAUAAGCGUGCUGUGAAAUAUAGUGGCUCAACCUCUAUCGUGCAGCGCGAACUGUUGAGCUUGAGUGCGUAGUAGGUAGGCGGAAUUCGUGGUGUAGCGGUGAAAUGCUUAGAUAUCACGAAGAACUCCGAUUGCGAAGGCAGCUUACCGUAACGUUACUGACGCUUAAGCACGAAGGUGCGGGUAUCGAACAGGAUUAGAUACCCUGGUAGUCCGCACAGUAAACGAUGGAUGCUCGCUGUUGGCCUUUAAUGGUCAGUGGCUUAGCGAAAGCGUUAAGCAUCCCACCUGGGGAGUACGCCGGCAACGGUGAAACUCAAAGGAAUUGACGGGGGCCCGCACAAGCGGAGG